GAUGAACGCUGGCGGCGUGCCUAAUACAUGCAAGUCGAACGCAUAGCGAAAGGUGCUUGCACCUUUCAAGUGAGUGGCGAACGGGUGAGUAACACGUGGACAACCUGCCUCAAGGCUGGGGAUAACAUUUGGAAACAGAUGCUAAUACCGAAUAAAACUUAGUGUCGCAUGACACAAAGUUAAAAGGCGCUUCGGCGUCACCUAGGGAUGGAUCCGCGGUGCACUAGUUAGUUGGUGGGGUAAAGGCCUACCAAGACAAUGAUGCAUAGCCGAGUUGAGAGACUGAUCGGCCACAUUGGGACUGAGACACGGCCCAAACUCCUACGGGAGGCUGCAGUAGGGAAUCUUCCACAAUGGGCGAAAGCCUGAUGGAGCAACGCCGCGUGUGUGAUGAAGGCUUUCGGGUCGUAAAGCACUGUUGUAUGGGAAGAACAGCUAGAAUAGGAAAUGAUUUUAGUUUGACGGUACCAUACCAGAAAGGGACGGCUAAAUACGUG
rnacentral:rRNA from 1 species